rnacentral:rRNA from 1 species
AGAGUUUGAUCAUGGCUCAGGACGAACGUUGGCGGCGCGCUUAAUGCAUGCAAGUCGAACGAGAAGCCAUCCUUCGGGAUGGUGGAAAGUGGCGAACGGCUGAGUAACGCGUGAGUGACCUGCCCUGGAGAGGGGGAUAGCCCCGAGAAAUCGGGAUUAAUACCGCAUACGCUCCUCAAUGUAGAGGUUGAGGAGGAAAGAUUUAUCGCUCUUGGAGGACCUCGUGUUCUAUCAGGUAGUUGGUGGGGUAAUGGCCUACCAAGCCUUAGACGGAUAGCUGGUGUGAGAGCACGACCAGCCAGAGGGGGACUGAGACACGGCCCCCACUCCUACGGGAGGCAGCAGCAGGGAAUCUUGCACAAUGGGCGAAAGCCUGAUGCAGCGACGCCGCGUGAGGGAUGAAGGCUCUAGGGUCGUAAACCUCUUUUAUCAGGGAAGAGCAAGGACGGUACCUGAUGAAUAAGCCACGGCUAACUACGUGCCAGCAGCCGCGGUAAUACGUAGGUGGCGAACGUUGUCCGGAAUUACUGGGCGUAAAGGGCUCGUAGGCGGUCCAACAAGUCGUUUGUGAAAUCUCCCGGCUCAACUGGGAGUGGUCGAGCGAAACUGUUGGACUUGAGGAUGUCAGAGGAAGAUGGAAUUCCCGGUGUAGUGGUGAAAUGCGUAGAUAUCGGGAGGAACACCAGUGGCGAAAGCGGUCUUCUGGGGCAUUUCUGACGCUGAGGAGCGAAAGCGUGGGGAGCAAACCGGAUUAGAUACCCGGGUAGUCCACGCCCUAAACGAUGGAUGCUAGGUCUUGGGGGUAUCGACCCCCUCUGGGCCAAAGCUAACGCGUUAAGCAUCCCGCCUGGGGACUACGGCCGCAAGGCUAAAACUCAAAGGAAUUGACGGGACCCCGCACAAGCAGCGGAGCGUGUGGUUUAAUUCGAUGCUAAGCGAAGAACCUUACCAGGGCUUGACAUGCAUGUAGUAUCGAUCCGAAAGGUGAGAGACCCGUAAGGGAGCUUGCACAGGUGUUGCAUGGCUGUCGUCAGCUCGUGCCGUGAGGUGUUGGGUUAAGUCCCGCAACGAGCGCAACCCUCAUGAUCAGUUGCUUUUUCUGGUCAGACUGCCCGCAAGGGAGGAAGGUGGGGACGACGUCAAGUCAUCAUGACUCUUACGUCCUGGGCUACACACACGCUACAAUGGCCGGUACAGACGGUUGCGAAGUCGCGAGACGAAGCUAAUCUGACAAAGCCGGCCCCAGUUGGAAUUGCAGGCUGCAACCCGCCUGCAUGAACGUGGAGUUGCUAGUAACCGCAGGUCAGCACACUGCGGUGAAUACGUUCCCGGGGUUUGUACACACCGCCCGUCACGUCAUGGAAGUCGGAAGCGCUUGAAGUCGCUGGGCUAACCUCGAUUUAUCGAGGAGGCAGGCGCCGAGGGUGAAGCCGAUGACUGGGACGAAGUCGUAACAAGGUA